rnacentral:lncRNA from 1 species
GAAAAUAUAAGUUUAUAAGUUAAUAUAAUUGUUACACAUUGCAACCAACAUCUUACAUUGAUAAGCCAAAGAAACACUAUCUAUUCUUGAGUUCUAUAGUGGCUUAAUGACGAAAAGGUCACAGCUACUGUAUACUUCAGAAAGAACAUAAAUUAUUUUUACAUGGAUAAAUUGUUAAAGAUGCUUUGUCAGCCAUUGCAUUGUUCUCAAUAAAAGUAAAAGAAAUAUAAAAACAAGUAUAUAUCUGCUGAUCUGUGUCAUCGAGAAAGAUGAAAAAAGGACUGGUUCUUCGUUAUGUAGAAUGGAUGGCAAAGAGAGGGCUGUGGGAAUAGAAAAAUUGAUGCCUAGAAGAAGGAUAUUGUCGUUACCUUUUUUUUCUUUUUUCACUUUUGC